rnacentral:tRNA from 1 species
GGGGGUUUGGCUCAGCGGUAGAGUGCAUGCUUGGCAUGCACGAGGUCCUAGAUUCAAUCCCCA